CAGCAUGGUCUUAGCUUGCUAAGGCCGAUGGCGACCGGCGCACGGGUGAGUAACGCGUAUCCAACCUGCCUUACACUCUUGGACAGCCUUCUGAAAGGGAGAUUAAUACAAGAUGUUAUCAUGAGUAAGCAUUUUCGCAUGAUUAAAGGUAUUCCGGUAGACGAUGGGGAUGCGUUCCAUUAGAUAGUAGGCGGGGUAACGGCCCACCAAGCCUUCGAUGGAUAGGGGUUCUGAGAGGAAGGUCCCCCACAUUGGAACUGAGACACGGUCCAAACUCC
rnacentral:rRNA from 1 species